AUCCUGACAAAAGGAAACAGAGACAGAGCAGAAAGAGAAAGUGAGAGAGGUUAAAGAGAAGAAAGGUAAGAUUUAGUCUAACACAGACGAGAGCCUCCGAACACUGAAAAAUCCAUCUCCUGAGUGUAAUCCACACAGAACUAGAAAAUCACCACAUCUUCAGUUCAUGAAAACUGGGAGCUGUGAGAAGAGAUCAGAGUAUUUAUCUAGGGAAAGGAAAAUCAGCAUGAUGAUUCAAAAACUGAGCAGCAGCCCCUUGCUAAGGUUGCAGAACUUCAUCAGCUGGGAAAUAAGACUCAAAACUACAGGUAACAGGUCUUCAGAAUGUAAUGAGGACGAAUAGAAACCAAGCACUUCUAAGAGCUGCAAUAAUAUCCUUCCAAACACAUGUAUGAUUUUGUUCUCGAUUACUGUUAAAUAGUUUAGGAAUGCUAAAGUAACUUCCAUUUUUAAAGAGUGUGCAGAUAGAAUUCUCUGAAGGCAUGUGAGAAAAAGCACUAAUGACAAUGUAAAAUAAAAUUACCUGGCCUCCACACAUCCGCUGUCAGUGUCAACAAGUACUAUAUUCUGAAUACAAAACAAAGGUACCGAAAAAAUUCUCAUGCUAUUUGCCUCUUAAAACCAAGCAAAUGCUGAUUCAUAAAGAAGUAGUAAAGUUCAUUUUCCUACAAAGAUAGUGUUUAUGGGAAAAUACCAUUUUGCAAUAUUCACAAGUCAUAAUCACAAUCAGUAAAGUGCCUGUUGAACAGCACAUUCAACAUCUUAGAGUUAAAACUGUCUUAAAAUUACAACACAUAGGUAUGUUUCACUCAACAACAGUUACUAGAGUCAUUAAAAAGUCUUUAGGAAUAAUGUCAUCUCAUAGAAUUUCAGAGUCCUUUACACUUGUAUUAGUGUAAUUUUAGGGAAAAGUUUAUUUUGAGAAGAAGCCUAGAAAAGCAAGUAUUUUUUUAAGCCAGAUACUCUUAAUUUUUAGAUAGAUGCUAUCAAAUCAAAUCCUUACUUCUCCAGGAAAUGAACCCCAUGUGUCAGAUCACAAGUCUUUUUGAAAGAAUGUGCACCAUUUUCAGGGCUGGGUUUCGAAAGAUUAGCUCUAUGAACAGUGCAGUUGUCCAGUGGUCCACAGGUGUUUCACAAGAAUUCCAAUGGAAACUGGGGUAUUUAUUUACACAUUCCACUACUGCACUGGAAACCCAAACACAGCAGCUUUGAGCAUGAUAUAAACCUAGCAAACAGUUUAUUAUCUGCAUUAAAUGAUAUGGAGACAAUAAGCCAAAAUAAUGAAUACACACAGACUUUUCAUUAUUUUAAUGCCCCUUUAACAGUGAAGUGUUUUUUGGCAGCAGAGACUGGCAGUCAGAUAUAAUUCCAUUACAAUGUUAGUAAUAAUAAAAAACACAAACUGACUCUGGCUUUCACAAUUGGUUUCCAUUACUUCUCAAUUUCAUAUCAAAAACAGCUUUGACAAAAAAUUUCAUUUCAUACUACAAAGGAGGUUAUGGUUUACACAAUCUACCUAUUUACUACAUUAGCUGUAAUUAAUAGCAGGCGAAAAUGACGUAAAGGGCAGAAGUUGUCUUGGAAAAAUCUAAGUUAUUAAGAAAUCACUUAGAAUUUAACAGCACCUUGAUGCAGGAUUGUUUCCACAGUACAGUGCUUGCACCACCAGUGAACUUGAUGACCAUAACCAACAUUGACAUUAUUUAUACCACAUUUCACUACAGCUUUACGAAGACUUGCAGGGUUAGCCCCCUUCUACAGACACAGAAAGGCUUUGGCACCAGACAGCUUGUUCAGUCACUCAGGUAUCACCACAACGUCCACAGAAACAGCUCACUCCAUCUCACUCCACAUCAUUUUGGUUAUUUUUCUAAAGGCAUCACAGAUAACCUACACCAGCUGCACCCAGAAUACAUGAUACUGAAAGGGCAUUUGGUAUGUUUUCCACUUUACAACACUUUUGUUGUGCUGCUGAUCUCUCAGAUUAUUUUGGAACAAAACCCCUGAGUUAUCUUUCAAGUGCACUGCUAGACAGAAACAGCAGACGCAAAUUUUUGCAGAAGUACCUAUAGGGAAGCAGGACCACUUAAACAACUUGUCGCAAACACACUGUAAAUUUUCUUCAAGCAUGAACUUUGUCAGAAGAACUGGAAGUUACAGCCUGCAGCAGAUAAACACAAAAGCCGUAAGACCAAAAAGACUUCAGACAUGCAAGGAGGCUGAAUUUUCCCACCUUAGCUCUGCCACACAGAGUGUAUAUACUGUGGGUCGCAUAAUGUGAUAAUGGCAGCAUCCUCUCAGGGCUAUCACAGGGAACUGAUCAACCCCCAUUUUCUGGGAGUAAAACCCAAGAAGAGAAGAGUCAAUGGGAAGAGCUCUCCAGAGCACCUUACAGAAUGAAGGGGGCUGCUGCUGACUGGGGCCUGGAAUUAAUAAGAUGCUAGAAAGGGCAUCUGGAGAUUGCACGAGGCUUAUAAUGAGAUUUUUGAAGGGAAAAAAACAAGGACAAGGAAAAAGGACAGAAAAGGUCAUUUGGGGGGAACAAGCACAUAAAAAUAAUGGGAAGAAAGUGACCACCUUCAAACAAAAGACUGGUCAGUGUGCUCAUCCAGCAACACACUGUUCCCUAUUGCCACAGUCUGUCCCAUCUUCUUAUUAAACUACAUUUCUAAACAUUUUCUUGAGUAAAGGGGAGCUAUUCUGCGUGUGUGUGCAUGGAAGUGCACAUGCCAGCAGCUGGAGCUGGACCACGCACAGGUUGUGGGGCCCAGCUACAUGAUGUGCCAGCAAGCGGAGAGGCCAGAGCCCAUGCAGGUUGCCUGGGUGCAUGUGUCAGUGUGUGAUCGCCACAAACACUGAGCUGGAGUAGCUGCCAAGUAGGGUAAGAGGCUUGAUCAGAUACUGGAGAGACCAGUAGGUCUGAGAGUUGGCUACUGGAAGGACCAGGAAGUCCAAGUGAGUUAUUGGAGAGACCAGGACAUCUGGGGGUUGGCUAUUGGUGUUUGUAUGUUUGCAUUUCUUGUGCAUAAGGCAGCUGGGACACCAGUGGAUCCAGGAGCCGACCACUAAGUAGACAGAGUGUCUAAGGCAAAUUACUGGAGGGACCUCUAGUGUGUUUUUACCUGUGGGAGUGCAGGUCAGAGUGCCAGCAGCUGGACUGGGAGCUGUGGGGCCUCUGUGAUUCAUCUGCCUAUGUGCCUGCAGCUGGGGUGUCCAACAAACCAAGGAGACAGUUACUGAACAGACUGAGUGCAUAAGGUCAGUUACUGGAGAGAUCUAUAUUUGCUCUGUAUGUGUAUCUAUAUAUAGACAUAUUCAUUUAUUUUCCACAGACAGGCUUUCACCCUAAUCAUCCAGAGAAGGGAACUGCUUGUGUUCCCCUGAGUGCCAUGUUCUCUGUGUUGCCUAUAUUACCAGCCACGUGUAUAUGUAUGUAUGUAUUGUACAUAUGUGUGCCUAUUGGACAUACGUGCUCAGCCUCACUAUUGGCUGGACCUUAGGACAAGAAGCUGUGGCAGGUUUCCUUCUAUUUGGCUUCUAGAUUUAACAGCUUUUAUCACAAAAUUAAAUAUAACUUUGUUAAAGCCUUCUGAAUUAUAAUUCCAACCAUUAUGGAAUCAAGGUGAUAAGCGGUCAUGAAAUGCUCUUUGAAAACUCUAUUCAUUACACGAAGUAUUAACAAUUAGCUCCACUCAUUACACAAAGUACUAUCAAUUAAAUGAACCCAAAGACAAAGAUCAUUAUCAAUGUAGUUAUGAGGAAACAACAGUGAGUUAACUCUAAGACAGAUGUUGAAAUGCCAGAGCUGACUCCAAGAGGAGUGAUUUUCAUCCAGCAGGGUUGGUAACCCAGUUCAAGUGCAACACUUGCAAGAUGCACUCGGCUCCUGAGGUUGUACACCUGCGUUCACACAACGCAGAACGUUCCUUUGUUUGUGAUCAGGGCACGUGAAGAGCAAGAAAUUACAACACUCAACCCCACAGAAUCAUUCUGGUCCAUCAAAGCGCAUUUGCUACAGUUCAGAUACCUCAGUACCUUUGCAGUGUUUACUACCAAGCUUUUUGAAGUAAUAUUAAUUACCGGGGUACUAAGUAUUGGGGUACCAGGGUAUCAGCCCAGGCUUGGACCUUGAGUGCCCACUGGAGACACUGAAGAAAACAGCUCAGGUCUUGCAUUGAAGAAACCAUCAUGAAUUCUGAAAAACGUGCAUCCACUCAGAACAGUUACCAUUCUCUGCAUGAGACCAACAAGGUCUCCAAAUUACAAGACUUUUCCACUGUUUAGGAUAUCCUGACUCUCAUCUUGAUAUUACUCUGGAUUAGAGUGAGUUGACUUCAGUACUCCUCUGGAAGACACACAGAAUAGCAGCACUACCAACUGGCUUCUAAAUCAUCAACAUCCUUUGCUUUUCUAUUUAAAAGAAUAAUUUAAUGUUUUUUGUCUUUCGCUCUCUACCCAAUAGAACACUAAAUAAUGCCACUGAUGCAUGACCCUUGUAUUAGUAUUUCACAGAAGUUUAGUAAGUAGCGUAUCGUUCAUAAGCUUUCGAAUUCUCUUAUUAUACAUGGCAGUAAACAAAGAGCGUCUUACCAGC